GGCAGCCUGCAGACCCGGGACCACGACCCGCGCUUGGAGCGAGGCCCACUCGGUAUCCCUGCGGCGGCCGCGGCCGAACGUAAGUGCGGGGUUCGACUAUGAGGCUUUGCUGCCCCCACAAGCUGAGUGUGUGGGAUGAAGGGCGCUCAGGGGACGGAGGAUCCCCGUAGAUGUGCGUGGGAGAUCGUGACCAGGAGCUCUGAGGGACGUCUGCGGGAACCCUGGCCGGGACCGACCCCGGGAACUCUUUUAAUGCACGCCCAGGAAGUGGGCAUUAUCUCCCUCAUCACUCUCCGGGUGUGAUGCACUGGGGUCUCUCUGCCCUCGUCUGCGCCACGGAGCCCCCAGUGCCUUCAGCAAUCUGAGAGGCAGGCGGCUUCUGCUUCGGAGCCCCUAGCCGUGCCACGGGUUUGUGCCUAGAGCCGGGACCUUCCAUCUCUUAAACCGUGUUGGGUAGCCGAGUCUCAGUCCUGGGAGAAAGGAACGGGAAUGACGUUAGUUUCUUCAUAGCUUGUCUUGACGCAAGGAGGUUGCUUCAGGCCGGAUGAAGCCCCUGCCACUUCCUCUUUCAAGACUCCUAGUGAAGUAGACCCUGCACGUUUUUCUCUUGGGCUGUGUAGUCUAUGCCCCAUUCUCAAGGCCCACUCUGAGCCUCCCUCAUUCUGGCUGACAGGUGAAGAGACUCAGAAGUUCCUAACCCCGAUUCCCCGUACAAAAUGGGAAAAUAGUGACAGAACCAGGGAAGAACUACAUUUAGCCUUUUGCCCCUCUACCUAGUAUGAGACUGGUCAUUCUUGCCAAAACAGAAGAGGCCAGAUACUGGUACCAUGUAAGCCAAUGUCGGGUGGUUUUCUGUUGCCUUUCGGAUUUCUUCUCUUUUACAAACUAGCUCUGUUUUGGGAGAGGCUACCAGCUGAACCCAACACAGCUUUGUGUGGCCACUCGUCCAGGUCAGCGGUGAGAAGGGUGACAGAGGCCGCUGUCAUUCGCCUCCUGCCUGCCUGCCAGCCUGGUAUGCCUAAGUGGCCUUCGUUAUUUGCUGAUUCCGUGUGAAUGUCUGCUGCCCCAGGCAUUCUGCCUUCAGAUUUUUCCACUUGUGGGUAACCACGUGGUGGUUAUAUUCACUUUCUGCCUGGAUCCCUGAGGAAGAUGGGGAGCCCUCUGCUCACACAUCUCCCUUUCUGUGGGUAACUUUCUUAGACGCAGCAGUUUAAGGUUCUGAAAGGGGGCAGAGACCUGAACUUUUAACCUGAUGCCAUCAUCCCAAAAAUUGUUAGCUCUCCGGGCCAGGAGAGAAACAUAAAGGGUGUGUGGGUGAACUUUUUAAUCAGAGGGCAAGAAGGUGCCGCACCUUCUGGGAGAUAAUUGCUCACUGUCUGCAAGAUGCCUGGUUUUAUGGUUUUCCCUUUUGGGACCCUCUGGGAUUAGUGUCAGACGUAGUCCUGUUUGACAAAAGCAUGCUUUGUCUCCAUGGAGUCAGCGGUAUGCACCUGGCAUUCUGCAGCCUACAAGAGUGAGGCUGGGCCAGCGGAGAACACUAGCCCAGUUCUCAAAGCCACUUGUCAGGGACACAGUGCUGGCAAACUAAAACCUGUCCAGGGGAGAUGGGCUGAGAUUAUGUGGACAGUGAGGAAGGUACAUCUGGUGAGAAAGGAGGGUUACAGCAGAUAUAACCCAGGGAUGAGCUGCACAGGGGUGUGGGUGUGGCUGUCAGCUGUUCCAAGCAUUGAAAUGGCUUGCUCAGUCUGGCCUCAGAAUCCCUGGUUAGAACGGAGAUGCAGCUCUUUAGAGAACAGCCAUUGGAGCCCAAGGGGAAAUGUGCUCGAAUCAGUGUGAGCAGAGGUUUUGUGUAUGCCUUUGUGUAUCCAUGUUUGGAGGGGAACGGUACCCCCCUAAUAAGGAUCUGAGGGUGCUGCAGUCUGCGAAGCUGUAGUAGUCUUUCC
rnacentral:lncRNA from 1 species